rnacentral:lncRNA from 1 species
UUUCAAAACCGUGGCACUUUGAACGCGAAGAAUGACGCUUUGAUUCUCGCACGCAGCGACAGGAGUUGCGAUCGUACAGCGGCUAACUCCGGGAAGCCGAACACAGGAGCGUCGAGACGAUUAUUCGGGUGGCAGGAACAAGAGAAUCGAAAGGACCCGAGAAAAACAAGAGACGAAAAAGACGAGAGAUUGUCGCUUUAGAGACCCAUCAUCGGAGUCACAGCUGCUUGUGUCCUGUUCCAUGCGCAGACACCGUCAGUUUCGUCCCUGGCUCGUCACAGUCAUCAUCGGGUGCCUCUCAGACACGCCUGCCUGGAGAGGAGAAUUUCCUGUAAACACUCGAGAAAGCGGGAUUUCUUUCGCUUUUCCCAGUGUCGCGUAACAUUAUGAGGGACUCUAAUGUUAGGAGAACUUUCUCCCGGCUUUUUUUAGCGAGGCGACAGACCCAAUGUCUUGAUGUGUGUCGUGUGCCAGCCGCCUGGAGGCAUACUUCCUCGCCUGCUGCCGGCGCAAAACCUUCAGUUCCCCGUCUCUCUGGUUCUCGAUUCUCUCCUCAAUCCACAAAAAAACACGGCUGGUUCGCGUGGAGUAGAGAGGAGUCGCCCGUUUGUUGCGGACUGCGGGUAUCCUGCGCGUGCAUGGGCUGAGUGUUCAGGCUUCCCCGUGCUCGGAAGGACUGGCCGUUCUUCUGCCUUGCUGUUUUUAUGCAUUUUGCUUCCGUGCAGCCUCCCGACGGGAUUUCUUUUGUGCCUCACCACUCAUGUGAGAGAGAGACCAAAAUCUGUGCGUGCAAAGGUACGCGUGCCGUCCCUCGAAAACUCGAGUCGUGAGUAGUGAGGGAAAACACCCGGCUUGGCUGCUGAAACGACUGGGACUAACGAGGUCCAAUUGUGACACUCAACACAUGCGGUUGUUUUUUUCCACAGCUAUGGGGAGGGAAGAGUGAAUGGCACGUCAACGUCCCCAGCCACGAGCCAAGCCCAGUAGAACACCAGUCACAGCUGCAAGAGCGCAAACUCCAGACCUCGAGGGAGCAGACGGUCUGGGCUCAGGGGAAUAAAAGCUGCUUGGAGAGGACGGAUAUGCGG